UACGUAGGUGGCAAGCGUUGUCCGGAUUUACUGGGCGUAAAGGAUGCGUAGGCGGAUGUUUAAGUGAGAUGUGAAAUACCCGAGCUCAACUUGGGUGCUGCAUUUCAAACUGGAUAUCUAGAGUGCAGGAGAGGAAAGCGGAAUUCCUAGUGUAGCGGUGAAAUGCGUAGAGAUUAGGAAGAACACCAGUGGCGAAGGCGGCUUUCUGGACUGUAACUGACGCUGAGACACGAAAGCGUGGGUAGCAAACAGG
rnacentral:rRNA from 1 species